UACAGAGGGGGCAAGCGUUGUUCGGAAUUACUGGGCGUAAAGGGCGCGUAGGCGGCCCGCUAAGUCGAACGUGAAAUCCCCGAGCUCAACUCGGGAACUGCGUCCGAUACGGGCAAGCUAGAAUUCGGUAGGGGAGACUGGAAUUCCUGGUGUAGCGGUGAAAUGCGUAGAUAUCAGGAGGAACACCGGUGGUGUAGACGGCUUUCUGGACCGUAACUGACGCUGAGACACGAAAGCGUGGGUAGCAAACAGG
rnacentral:rRNA from 1 species